rnacentral:piRNA from 1 species
UGGGAAUUGAUUUCAGGACCUCUGGAAGAGC